GACGAACGCUGGCGGCGUGCUUAACACAUGCAAGUCGAACGGAAAGGCCCUGCUUUUGUGGGGUGCUCGAGUGGCGAACGGGUGAGUAACACGUGAGUAACCUGCCCUUGACUUUGGGAUAACUUCAGGAAACUGGGGCUAAUACGGGAUAGGAGCUCCUGCUGCAUGGUGGGGGUUGGAAAGUUUCGGCGGUUGGGGAUGGACUCGCGGCUUAUCAGCUUGUUGGUGGGGUAGCGGCUUACCAAGGCUUUGACGGGUAGCCGGCCUGAGAGGGUGACCGGCCACAUUGGGACUGAGAUACGGCCCAGACUCCUACGGGAGGCAGCAGUGGGGAAUAUUGCACAAUGGGCGGAAGCCUGAUGCAGCAACGCCGCGUGCGGGAUGACGGCCUUCGGGUUGUAAACCGCUUUCGCCUGUGACGAAGCGUGAGUGACGGUAAUGGGUAAAGAAGCACCGGCUAACUACGUG
rnacentral:rRNA from 1 species